AUUGAACGCUGGCGGCAGGCCUAACACAUGCAAGUCGAACGAGCGGCGGACGGGUGAGUAAUGUCUGGGAAACUGCCUGAUGGAGGGGGAUAACUCCUGGAAACGGUCGCUAAUACCGCAUACCAUCAGAUGUGCCCAGAUGGGAUUAGCUAGUAGGUGGGGUAAUGGCUCACCUAGGCGACGAUCCCUAGCUGGUCUGAGAGGAUGACCAGCCACACUGGAACUGAGACACGGUCCAGACUCCUACGGGAGGCAGCAGUGGGGAAUAUUGCACAAUGGGCGCAAGCAUGAUUCAGCCAUGCCGCGUGUUUGAAGAAGGCCUUCGGGUUGUAAAGCACUUUCAGCGAGGAGGCGUUACUCGCAGAAGAAGCACCGGCUAACUCCGUGCCAGCAGCCGGGGUAAUUC
rnacentral:rRNA from 1 species